rnacentral:rRNA from 1 species
GAUGAACGCUGGCGGCGUGCCUAAUACAUGCAAGUCGAGCGAACAGACGAGGAGCUUGCUCCUCUGACGUUAGCGGCGGACGGGUGAGUAACACGUGGAUAACCUACCUAUAAGACUGGGAUAACUUCGGGAAACCGGAGCUAAUACCGGAUAAUAUAUUGAACCGCAUGGUUCAAUAGUGAAAAUCGUUUUUGUGUUAAAUAUAGGUCGGUCCGCGCCGGAUUAGCUAGUUGGUAAGGUAACGGCUUACCAAGGCGACGAUGCGUAGCCGACCUGAGAGGGUGAUCGGCCACACUGGAACUGAGACACGGUCCAGACUCCUACGGGAGGCAGCAGUAGGGAAUCUUCCGCAAUGGGCGAAAGCCUGACGGAGCAACGCCGCGUGAGUGAUGAAGGUCUUCGGAUCGUAAAACUCUGUUAUUAGGGAAGAACAAAUGUGUAAGUAACUAUGCACGUCUUGACGGUACCUAAUCAGAAAGCCACGGCUAACUACGUG